GUUAUUUCUUGCAUGGAGAGAUGUGGUGUUACCAAAAACCGGGCUUUGAGGCCCUGCUUCUCGCAGAGCUGCAGAAACAGCAGCAGUCCAGCCAGUUCUGUGACAUUGUACUCAAAGCAGAUGAGUGCUGAACUGAGAGCCAAGAAGUCACCCACCCAACUGUGGGGUACCAAGACCUACCCCAUCAGGAGCAGGUUUAAGGAAGCACAGAUUACGGAUGCCAUUCCAUUCCUUGAGGUUCCUCUUUCAAACUACAAAAGUAAAACCACAAAGCAUGGACUUCUUCCUUCUCCAUCUUGCCGGGGCAUUUCU
ensembl:lncRNA